rnacentral:rRNA from 1 species
GCUUAACCGGAGAAGUGCAUCGGAAACUGGAUAACUUGAGUGCAGAAGAGGGUAGUGGAACUCCAUGUGUAGCGGUGGAAUGCGUAGAUAUAUGGAAGAACACCAGUGGCGAAGGCGGCUACCUGGUCUGCAACUGACGCUGAGACUCGAAAGCAUGGGUAGCGAACAGGAUUAGAUACCCUGGUAGUCCAUGCCGUAAACGAUGAGUGCUAGGUGUUGGAGGGUUUCCGCCCUUCAGUGCCGGAGCUAACGCAUUAAGCACUCCGCCUGGGGAGUACGACCGCAAGGUUGAAACUCAAAGGAAUUGACGGGGGCCCGCACAAGCGGUGGAGCAUGUGGUUUAAUUCGAAGCUACGCGAAGAACCUUACCAGGUCUUGACAUCUUGCACCAACCCUAGAGAUAGGGCGUUUCCUUCGGGAACGCAAUGACAGGUGGUGCAUGGUCGUCGUCAGCUCGUGUCGUGAGAUGUUGGGUUAAGUCCCGCAACGAGCGCAACCCUUGUUACUAGUUGCCAGCAUUAAGUUGGGCACUCUAGUGAGACUGCCGGUGACAAACCGGAGGAAGGUGGGGACGACGUCAGAUCAUCAUGCCCCUUAUGACCUGGGCUACACACGUGCUACAAUGGACGGUACAACG